AGCGAUGAAACUUUAACAGAACCCUUCGGGGCGAAGAUAAAGUGGAUUAGCGGCGGACGGGUGAGUAACACGUGAGUAACCUGCCUUAGACAUUGGGAUAGCCUCGGGAAACCGGGAUUAAUACCAAAUAAAAUCAUAAUGACACAUGUCAUAACGAUCAAAACUCCGGUGGUCUAAGAUGGACUCGCGUCCCAUUAGCUAGUUGGUAGAGUAAAAGCCUACCAAGGCGACGAUGGGUAGCCGGCCUGAGAGGGUGAACGGCCACAUUGGAACUGAGAAACGGUCCAAACUCCUACGGGAGGCAGCAGUGGGGAAUAUUGCACAAUGGAGGGAACUCUGAUGCAGCGACGCCGUGUGAACGAAGAAGGCUUUCGAGUCGUAAAGUUCUUUUAUAUGGGAAGAUAAUGACGGUACCAUAAGAAAAAGCCCCGGCUAACUACGUGCCAGCAGCCGCGGUAAUACGUAGGGGGCUAGCGUUGUCCGGAAUCACUGGGCGUAAAGGGUUCGCAGGCGGAAAUGCAAGUCAGAUGUAAAAGGCAGUAGCUUAACUACUGUAAGCAUUUGAAACUGCAUAUCUUGAGAAGAGUAGAGGUAAGUGGAAUUUUUAGUGUAGCGGUGAAAUGCGUAGAUAUUAAAAAGAAUACCGGUGGCGAAGGCGACUUACUGGGCUCA
rnacentral:rRNA from 2 species